CCGGCGACCGGCGCACGGGUGAGUAACACGUAUGCAACCUGCCCUCUUCAGGGGGACAACCUUCCGAAAGGGAGGCUAAUCCCGCGUAUAUCGGGUUUCGGGCAUCCGAGAUCGAGGAAAGAUUCAUCGGAAGAGGAUGGGCAUGCGGCGCAUUAGCUAGACGGCGGGGUAACGGCCCACCGUGGCGACGAUGCGUAGGGGUUCUGAGAGGAAGGCCCCCCACACUGGUACUGAGACACGGACCAGACUCCUACGGAAGGCAGCAG
rnacentral:rRNA from 1 species